CAAGUCUUUCAGCCACGUAAACAGAAAAUACUCAACCGUCAGUUGUUUUACAUCUGAACACGUGUGCCGGACAACGCGUGUUCACAGUGUAUUCGUUGGCGCACCGUCGCGGUGCGGACGUUACGGUUCGGUGCAGGCACGAAGAUCGACGACGGUAAUGCGGAACCAAAGAUUUACGCGCGCGAAUUCUUUCCGGACGCCUUAAACUGUAAGCCACCUUAAACUGUGAGCUGAUUGGCCCAGUCGGUCACACGUGACAGGGCCUACGGGAGCCGCAGGAUCCGCCUCCGACAUUUUAAAUCAGCGGCGCGGGAAAACGAUUGAUUCCCAGUGAGCUACAAACAGCAACGGAGAGCGAGUGGUGGAUCGGACGAGGACCACGGUGCGUCGGCGGUGUUCGGCAGUUAUCAGUUAUCAGACGAGGUGACUCCCAACAGGGACGCUUUGAGCCUCCUCUUUCACCUUUCAAGCAACUGCUGUCCCAACACAUCUGUCAAGUCCCGCUGCUGACUGAGCACACAACAGAGGGGGAGUCUUAGCAUGUGGCUGAGAAAGCCCCUCCUCACCGCCUCUCGAGGCCAGCAGUGUGGUUUGGACCCGAACACGGGGAUGCUCUGUCUCAGGAGACAAGUUGCUGCGGUCUGUAAUCCCCAGGAAAACCCUCUCUCAGCAUUCUACACGACCUCGCUGUCAGCCUCUAGGAAGAGCUCGCGCCUCCGGGUUAUUUUUAUUUCUUUUAAUCUGUCUCCAACGGCCGUAACCGAGAAAGGCAGCAUUAUGAAAGACGUGGAAGUUCCAACAAAGCUGCAUAGAUCGUGUGAGUAACUCAAAAUUGAUUCUUCCCAUAUGGGUGUCGUGUAAGCAAGCGAGGAACUUCUAUAAGUUAAAGGGGGGAAUUGCCGCAGCCGAGAGAGAGAGAGAGAGAGAGCACCCCACCCAAACUGGAGACAGCUGCCCACAGUCACCACGGCUGCCCGAGAGGAGGCGUGUUCUGGCACCGCGGUUCGCAACAAAGAACAUACUGAUGCCACUGCCCACAUCCAACCAGAGGGAAUCUAUAGCGGCAGAAAACAUGCCAACCCCGGGGUGAACAUUCCUGUCUAACUAAUGUGUGUGUGCUGAAUGAUGACGUGUUUUGCAACGGUGGUUGACAAAAGUCUGGGAGAAACAUGUCUGGUGAGCAAAUCAUAUACUGUCACAAAGUUAACAUUUUGACUCACUUCUUACUAUAGUGGCUGGUUGGUGACGUGUCCCUGCUCUCAAUUCUCUUCACUUAAAGAGAUUGGGAAGGAGCUGCAGUGGGACAUAUACACUGGCGGCAUAUAGAUGUUCUGGCGGCCUAUAAACAGCAGGUUUGUGGCCUCAGAGUUGACAGAUGUGGGCUCGUCUGUCCCUUGACCCACUGAAAAUGUAAAGUAUGCAUUUUCACCAGCCUUUACUGAAUAUGUAGCUCUUUAAAAUGUAACGCGAGUGGGGUUAUUUCUGUCCGUCUCCCGCCGCCGGAGCCAAAGGAUCUUUACUCUCUUGUCAACAGCAUGUUGAGGAGGGAAAACCACGCCCUCGCAGAAAACCAUAAAUCAAAACGGGGUAUUGCCUAAAAGUGUGUGUGUGUACGGGGAGAACUGGGGUUUCCCUCUUCUAGCACUGUAUUUUCCAACUUAAAAGUGUCUGUUUGUAUGUUUUUAUGUGUUUAUCUUUCAAGAUAGCGUGAGGACAUUCGUUCAGUAGAAAAAUACAAUGAAAUUGUACAGUAUGUGUAAUAUCCCUUAACCCAUUCAUUCUAGUAUUGGCAGAUUGGCAGCAGUGGGCAACAAAAUCAGAAAUGAUCAAAUACUAUUAUGAGUUGUCUGCACAUAUAAAAUAGUAUCCUGGUACCCUGAGUAGUAUUUUCACCACUCGUGGUGCUAUGGAGCACUGCAUUGGAGAUUGGGUCACCACAAGUAUCUUGAGCACGUCAAAGAGGACACAAGUGUGAGCUGAUGACAUGAUACACGAUACUUGUCUCCCUAACCCAGAGAGUAGUUGGAACAGUUUGUUUACAAAAUUCUCUGCACGGCACCUUUUUAAUGAAUAAGUUCAUAUCAGAGCGGUGACAGGAAACAAAGGCAGAUGACAUGUAACCAAAGGGCCUCCAGUCGGGCCUGAGCGGAUUACAUCAAGACAAAAGAAGAAGAAGAAGAAGAAGAAGAAGCUCACCUGUCUCAUCACCGCGGCUCCUCAGAGAGAGCGCCAAGGCCAGGAUGGCCCCCAGUAGGCACACCAGCAGAACCUAAAGUCCAGAGAACACGUGUCAGGAUAUCAUUUUUUUUUCAUUACUAAAAGGUAAAUUUCAAAUACAAACAUGACUAACAUGUUUACUGUGGAUCGUUAAAGGUUAAAGCAACAAGAGGUAAGAAACUCCGCCAGCUACAAGAGUCAAUUUAUGAUUGUCAUAAAUCAUCACAUUCAAAUCAGGUGCUACUGCUGCGAAACGCCGAUAGCAUUUUUACUACAUGAUUACACUGCGGCGAAAAUGUCUUUUUUUUAAUUUGAAAGAUAUUUUACUGGCACUCCAGACGCGCUCCAGUGUCGGCUAGACGCCUUUCUGGCCAUAAUAUAAACACAGUGCAAUAGACUUUUGGCUCUUCCAGCGAAGCCAUGUAACAGGAAAGACCUGCUUCGAUACAUCAGAAUGUUUGUACAAACAGACUUUGACUCGGGGGGUCGGGGGAAAUGUCUGCAGCCCCAUUUGUGGACAUUUGCGUCCUCACAAACGGCACCUCUGGGGAAAGUUCAGGAAGGUGUUCUGUCUGAAAGCAGCAGUGAAGGUCAGAAAGUCCUUCUGUUCAUCCAGUGUUUAGGCAGUCAUGAUAUUUUAAUCUUAAUUCAAAAUGGCUUCAAGUUAUUUAUUCCUUGAACGCAACUCUAGUAAUCUCUGCCUUCCCUCAUACACCAUCUUGGCAGUGGUCCAGAUGUCGACCCCGGUCCUCGGUAAUGGAAAAGUUAAACGAGGACAGAGCUUCCUCUUCAUCUGCUGCUCGUACUGGAUCUGCUCAGAGACGCCUGCCGACUGGGGGCAAACGCUAUAGGUGAAGGCAGGGCAGAACGAGAGAGAGAGAGAGAGAGAGAGACCUGGCUUCUUCGACGUGGUAUUCGUGGGCUGUGAAAGCAAACAGCCCGUCUGGUGGAAACCUACUCGUCUGACACCGAAGACACACUCCACGACUAUGGUCUGCACAGUAAAGAUCGGAACAGAAGUCUGUACCAACUGUCCGGUACAAACUGGACUUUAAAUCUCUGAAGCCUGAAGAACUAAUGAUUAAACCUCAUGUUGGGAGUUUAAAAAAACAACAACAAAAAAACCAGCCCCCUGCUUUAUAUCUUCACUCCUACGGUGUCUGCAGGUCCUUGAGUAACACUGCGGUGUGAGAACUACUGGCAGACGUAUGGAGGCUGAAAUGACGGGAGAGAACAGAUUGUUGACUAGACUUUGCCUCAUGCGUGUCUAAUCAGUGCCAGGCAGACAGACAGACAGACGUUAGUUCCUGUGGGUUUCUGGCUGGACUCUGUUCAUAAACUCUCUCUCUGUGUGUGUGUGUGUGUGUGUGUGUGUGUGUGUGUGUGUGUGUGUGUGUGUGUGUGUGUGUGUGUGUGUGUGUGUGUGUGUGUGUGUGUGUGUGUGUGUGUGUGUGUGUGUGUGUGUGUGUGUGUGUGUGUGUGUGUGUGUGUGUGUGUGUGUGUGUGUGUGUGUGUGUGUGUGUGUGUGUGUGUGUGUGUGUCAUAGUGAGGACGCAGGUGAAGGAGGCAGAUCCCCGACCAAUCUGAACUUGUCACUCACGAUUGGGGCCAAAUACGUCAAUUAGUUUUACUGUAACAUGCCUCGGAACUUUUCUUUUUGUCCUUCCUUAUUUCGCCAAUGACCACAGCUGCAUAUUGAAAACAUAUAAUCACUUUUUGUGUGUGUGCGUGCGUGCAAUUCUUCCAAUUAUGGUUUCAGUCUUUAUAUGUAAAUCCCCCAAAAUGUGUCCCAGAUUUAGCCUGCAUGCAGAAUAUGUGUGGUUAGUCUUGGUUCCCUUUAGGAACUGCGAACAAUAAAAGUGUCUUGUCAGCUGAGGCUUUCCGGGGGGGGGGGGGGGUUAUAUAUAUUUAUAUGAAGACAACUGGCAUUCAAAUGUCCAAACAGAUUCUCCUCCAGGUCAUAAUGUGAACCCCCCCCUCAACUCCACACUACAACAGUGACAUACAUACAGCAUGUGUCAUUGGAACCGUUCCUUGAAAAACAAAAUGAGUUGAUUUGUCAAAUGUUAUUAUAAUAAUAAGCAUUUAAUUGCUGUCAAUUAAUGUAAUUUUUCCGACAAAAACAUCAAAUAUUUAAUGGUCCAGGUUCUAAAAUGUGACAAUUUCUCACUUUCGCACAAAAAAAACAACCAUAUGUGAAGAUUGUGCUCCUGGAUAAUGUGAUCAGGAUUGUGUCAGUCACAUUCAAUCCUCCGCCACCUGAGGAGACACUUCUGACCUCUGUGUCUUUGCACUGGAGUGAAAACAUGUAGUUUCCACUUCCACACCGUCAGUCUGGUCUGUGUGGGUGUAAAGAGAGUCGCACUGUACACUGGCACGUCAUCAGUAUGUUCCCAUUUGAAUAAUCUGAUCACACUCCAGAUUACUUCAUGAAUCAUGUAGUCUCGUGGAGGUGAAGACGCCGUCAUCGAAACCUUUAAAAAAGGUCUCGGAAGAUCCCAGGACUCGGUGAAAUUCAGUUUUCAGUCACACUUGUGAGAGAAAAGCAGCAAAAAUUCUCACUGGAGGAGCUGGAACAAACUCCAAGUUUUCAUUUUUUCCUCCCCACAUAUUUAGCUUGAGGAGCAACUUGGUCUACUGGUCGGAUGUAAAGAAUAUUUGCAGAUUGUCUUCCUGUUGUUUGACUAAUCAAUCGAACGCUCUAACGGCCACUGUAUACACUUGAGAUUGAAGAGUUAAAGGUCCUGCAGGAACAUUAUAGAUGCUAAAGAUGCAGGAGAUGGAAGGUGAUUUUUUUUUUUUUUAAGUCUAUAAACUAACAGGCAGAUAAUUCCACAGGAUUAUUUCAUCAUAUAUGAUUAUGUGGUUAAAAGUGCAGCAAGAUCCCUUUUAGUUCCAGAUGAACAUGUGGAUGAAAAGGCACAUAUGAAUGUAACAGUAAAGAACACAGAGUGGCCUGUGAAGACUCUUCUGCCGGGACAGGGACAGGUGAAGUGAAGUCAACGUACCACAAUG